ACCUGCAUAGCGAGGCGGUCACUACCAAAGCCAUGAGUGUCUAAAUUUCUAUUCUUGAUUUAGACAGAAGGCACAGAUCCAUGAGACUGUGGACCAUGGGCCAGUAGGAGGCACUGUGGGUCCAUGGUAAACAGGGUGUGCUGGGAGGGGUUGAGAGCCACCCUGGAGAGGGCAGCUUAAGGGAACCUUGGCUACAUGCCUGCAUCAGGGAGCAGGUUUGAGUUCCUUGAGUGGUCCAGACACAUGGACCCAGCACAGACUCCCCACUGCCCAGGGGAGUGGGGACUUGCCUGGAGCCUCAGGAUGUGUCCAGGGGGCCGUCUCCUGCAGCAGCAUGGGGAGUGGAGGGUGAGGGAUUAGUGUGGCUGGUGAGGGCUGGGUGAUGAGUGUCAGGCAGGGACAGGAAGAGAAGAAAAAGGCAUGUGAUGGGCAUAUGGGGACAUGGGGACAGUGCUUACCUCACACCCACCCUUUGCUGAGGGGCUGUGCAGGACAGGGAAGGGCAUAGAGGAGUCCGCCAUGGAUCCUGCCAAGGGGUCCAGUGGAUCAGGAAACAGCCUGCAGAGACACAGAGCAGUGACAUCAUAGGCAAACGCUCCAAUCAGGGAAGCAGGAGGGUCAGCACUUUAGACCACUCUCCCCAGGAGUCCCACCUCCUGCCAGCAGUGGUCUUGGGUUCCUGAUGCUGCCAUGGGCUCCAGGCUCCUCUGCUGUGUGACUCUCUGCCUUCUGGGAGCAGGCCUGGUGGAUUCUGGAGUCACCCAGACUCCCAAAUACCUGAUCAAAUCAAGAAAGCAGCAAGCGACUCUGAGAUGUUCCCCUCACUCUGGACACUUCUCUGUGUACUGGUACCAACAGGCCCCGGGCCAGGGCCCCCAGUUCCUCGUUCAGUAUUACAACCAGAAAGUGAGUGGAGAAUCUCACCUCCUGGAUCGAUUCUCAGGAAAACAGUUCAGUGACUCUCACUCUGAGCUGAACUUGAGCUCGUUGGAGCUGACGGACUCUGCCAUGUAUCUCUGUGCCAGCAGCCAAGACACAGACCUGCAUGAGCAGAUGCCUCUGGGACAAAAACACUCCUACCCCAGCUCAGGAAGUGGUUGCCAGGGUGUCAGUUGCCAGCCAGCGAGACCCAGACCCAGGUAG